UGAGUGUGUUAUUGUGCUGGCACCUUAAAGACUGCCGUGGACCGCUGACUCGUAAAGUUUUUAAUAUUCCUCAUAUUCUGUGUGGUGGUCAGUUCACGCUGAUGGAAAUUAAUCUUUUCCAAUAAGUUUAAACUGAUUUUUUUACAUUUUAUGGGCAUUUUUACCUUUAUAAAGCAAUUUUUCUUUUUCUAAAAGUCCAUUAUCUUUUGAGUCAAAUUCUUAGAUUUAAUCAGUGAAUUACAAUAAUAAGACAUUUGGGCUGUUACCAAGCAAAUGAAAUCAACACAGUUGUCAGUUGACAUGUCACACCACAGGACGUUUGUUUAUUGAACGUAAUGUUUAUUUAUAAGUUAUUUUCAGGUGUUACUUACCAGUUGGUUGAGAAUUAUGUUAGGAGCUACAAAUUCUUUUUUUUUUAAAAAAGCCCAGUGUUACUCAAAUCUUUUGUGUUGUGUAUAUCAAUCAUCAUUAAGCUGUCAGAGAUCUGAACACUCAUAACACUGAUAGAGCUUAAUUCCCAUUAUUAGUGUGACUUUUGCUUAGAAGAAAACAAAUGUGUGUGAGCCAGGGCCAUCACUAGGAAUAACUAUGGUGCGAGCGACUAUCAGACUUUUCAUAUGAGAGUACUUCAGAAUUUUUCAUCUGUGACAUUGGAUCAUAUUUUAAAAAAAAAUAAUAAUAAUAAUAAUACUUUGAGAAUUGCUUUCUCUUAAUAAGAACAAAAUCGAUCAGCAGUAUCUCAACUGAUCAAUACCAGCUAACUAGAACAAAACCAACCAACAUUCAAACCUCUUAAUAAAGCAAUACUGAAAACGUGCCUUUUGAAACCAUGUGUAUUGUGUCAUACAUGUGUGACAGAACCUCCCACAAUUCUUCAGGUCAUGUGAUCUUAAAAGUGCAACUCUGUGGUUCUGGGAGUCAGACUGACUGAUUAACUCUCCUCUUCUCUGCACUGAUCAUCAGCACACUGCAGUAAUGACAGAACCUGGAGGCUGGAGUCCAGUGAAACCGGUCACUCUAGAGGUGAUAAAGAUUUGCCUUGAGAUUGUGAAUGGAACAAACUUUGUGGUCAAGGUAAGUGAGUGUUUUUGUUUGUUUGUUUGUUUUUUUGUAUGGAUUUUGAGCUUGUGAAUUCAUCACUGAAAAAUAAAGGUAGGCUAUAACUUGCA
ensembl:lncRNA